UGCAGAAUCCCGUGAACCAUCGAGUCUUUGAACGCAAGUUGCGCCCGAAGCCACUAGGCCGAGGGCACGUCUGCCUGGGUGUCA
rnacentral:rRNA from 2 species